rnacentral:piRNA from 1 species
UGUGACCUUCAUUGAGAGGCACUGCUCAC